CACCGGUGCCUUUGCUCAACAAUGGGACAUGAUCACGGAAAUAUAUCACAGCACAGCAUGAAACAGGGGAGAGGUGGUGGCUUAGGGCCACAUCGUGAGCCACGGACUGUCCUGCAGGACCCAGGCUCACCUCCAUAUGGGGACACCAGCACCUUCUGACUUCUCCUGUGUAAACAGGCCUUCCAGGGGAAACAAUUUUGGUCUGAUAAUGCUGCAGUUAUUAACCAGAGUCAACUAUUCAGCAAAGCAAUGCUUGCCAUUGCCAGCGCUUCCAGAGGAAGGAAUGAGUUCAGAGCAUCAGGGUUUACUUGAGCGUCAAAAACUUUUACCUUGCCGGAGGUCAACAAAGAAAAAGAGUGAUAUGAGGGAUAAUAUAAUCACUCCAACAUAUCUACCACUUUCUUGCAGAGAGAUAACCAAACACUUCAAAUAUGAGUGGACUCAGAGACCAUGGUAGUUAAUGGAAACCUGUCAGCUGACAUUAAUGUUCAGACCUUUAAUUAUUUUCUUCCAACUAAAGAGAAAAAGAAUAAAUUCCACCAUCUAUAUAGCAGGUCAUAAAUCAUUAAGUGAAUGGCAGGAUCUUGAAAAGGGUUCUCCUGAUCCCUACAACACCCAGCUGCUGAUGGUCACAUCAACCCAUCUUCUCAACCCAACAAUGAAAUUCCCCUUCAGCCACCAUGAUGGCACUUAAGUCUUAGUGGAGCUCUCAUGAAAAUACACAAAGCAGGAUUAAAGCUUCCCUAAAAUCAAGUGCAUUUUGCAGACUCAAGCCAUACCAGAUACGUGGCAGGGGUCAGACACAUGUUGUGAUUAGAGAUGGUUCAGUGGAAGAUGUUAAGGGAGUUGGUAUGGGUGAUCUCUAAGGUCUCUUCUAAUCCAAACCAUCUGUGAAUCCAGGCUGGAGCAGGUUUGCUUACAGAACCUGUGACCCCAUGGGGGACGCACGCUGGAGCAACCUGUUCCUGAAGGACUGCACCCCAUGGAAGGGACCCACACUGGAGCAGCUGGUGAGGAAUUGCAGCCUAUGGGAAAGACUCACAUUGGAGAAGUUCAUUGAGGACUGUCUGCUGUGGGAGGGACCCCACAGUCGAACAGAAGAAGGGUGUGAGGAGUCCUCCCCCUGAGGAGGGAGGAGCAGCAGAGACAAAUGAUGAACCGACCGCAGCCCCAGUUCCCUGUCCCCUUGUGCCAGUAAGGGGGAGGAGGUAGAGAAAUAGGAAACGAAGUUGAGACAAGAAGAAGGGAGAGGGGAAGGUGUUUUGAGAUUUGUUUUUUAUUUCUCAUCAUGCUACUCUGCUUUGAUUGGUAAUAAAUUAAGCCAAUUUCCCCACAUCAAGUCUGUUCUGUCCGUGACGGUGAUGGGUGAGUGAUCUCUCCCUGUCCUUAUCUCAACCCAUGAGCCUUAUGUUUUAUUUUCUUUCUCCUGUCCAGCUGAGGAGGGGAGUGAUAGAGUGGGCUUUGGUGGGCACCCAGAAUCCCAAAAGGGUUAACCCACCACGACUCAUCAGACUUUUCUUAGAUGAAAACAUCAACAAUGAGAGAUGAACCAGACCCCCAGAUAGUGUAUAUUCAGUGGACACUGGGAGACUGGAGACAAGUUCACAUGGACUCUGACUAGACCUUGGUACACAUCCAGAGACUCCUGUGCUCACAGGUGUGUUUCCAGUGUUUUCAAGAAUGCUCCUUGGAGGCAGUCAUCCAUGGAGCCAAACUGAGGAUCCUGGAGUUCUUGAUCUAACUGAGCUCAAGUUCUGCACCAGAGAGAUUGGAAAUUUCUGAAACCUUUAUUUUAAUGGGAUCU